GCGGCAAUAGUGUAACGGAUAGAACACGCAUUCCCGGAAAGAAUGAGGUGCGGGUUCUAGUCCCGCCUGGCGCG